rnacentral:lncRNA from 1 species
CUUCGACUCCGACGCGCCCGGCGUCGGCAUGCUCGAGAAGCGCAAGACCUUCGAGCUCGCCCUCGCCACCGCCGACGCCACCUUCCAGAACCUCGACUCCUCCGAGAUCUCGCUCACGGACGUCAGCCACUACUUCGAUUCGGACCCCACAAAGCUCGUCCAGGGCCUCCGCAAGGAUGGCCGCGCACCGGCGUCCUACAUCGCCGACACGACGACGGCGAACGCGCAGGUGCGGACGCUGUCGGAGACGAUGCGGCUGGACGCGAGGACCAAGCUGCUGAACCCUAGAUGGUACGAAGGGAUGAUGAAGAGCGGGUACGAGGGGGUGAGGGAGAUCGAGAAGCGGCUGACCAACACCGUCGGCUGGAGCGCCACCUCCGGUCAGGUGGACAACUGGGUCUACGAGGAGGCCAACACGACCUUCAUCGAGGACGAGGAGAUGCGGAAGCGGCUCAUGGACACCAACCCAAACUCCUUCAGGAAGCUGCUGCAGACCUUCCUCGAGGCCAAUGGCAGGGGGUACUGGGACACCUCCGAGGAUAACCUGGAGAGGCUCAGGGAGCUCUACUCCGAGGUUGAAGACAAGAUCGAAGGGAUUGACCGCUGAGCUUUCUUUCAGCAUUUGACCGAC